GUUUGCGGGUCAUGUGAUGUGAAACCUUAACCCCUGAGCUGCCGGGAGAUUAUAACUCCUCCCCCUCCCCUGUGUUAACCUCUGCGGCGCCGAAUCCUCGGUGAUCCCAGAGCCAGGGAGCUGCUGAGACAAUACCAUACUGUACAUAUAAGAGGACUACGCAACUUCCUUUUGGGAUAAUUCCAGCAGCACCAUGCUGAAGCCAGUACAAGUGGUGAUAACACUAUAUUA